CUGAAAAUAAAGAGAAGAAAAUAAUGGGUUAUGAAGUCUAAAAGUGCAAAGUGCUUAAGGAAGUGUAAGUCACUAUUAUAUAGUUUUCCUACCCAUCCCCUAGCCUACAUUACAACCCGUUAAAGUCCUAUUUGAUUCUAUUCAAGCAUGCUUAAUUAGUGGAGAUGUACAUAAUGGGCAAGCAUAUGGUUCUUUGUCCAUACAUGUG
rnacentral:lncRNA from 1 species